rnacentral:rRNA from 1 species
UACGAAGGGGGCUAGCGUUGCUCGGAAUCACUGGGCGUAAAGCGCACGUAGGCGGCUUCUUAAGUCAGGGGUGAAAUCCUGGAGCUCAACUCCAGAACUGCCUCUGAUACUGGAGAGCUUGAGUCCGGAAGAGGUGAGUGGAACUCCGAGUGUAGAGGUGAAAUUCGUAGAUAUUCGGAAGAACACCAGUGGCGAAGGCGGCUCACUGGUCCGGUACUGACGCUGAGGUGCGAAAGCGUGGGGAGCAAACAGG